CCCCCGGUAGCUCAGCCGGUAGAGCAGGGUGAUACAGUCUCCCCGUCGCUGGUUCGACUCCAGCCCGGAGGU
rnacentral:tRNA from 1 species